CAUCCUGCUCCACCUGGGAUUUAGGUGCCUUUAAUUUGACAAAAGAAGAAUACGUAUCCAUUCAGUACUCCAGAGGGACUUGAAAACUGUUCUUCCCUGAACUAACGCUGGACUAUCAUGGGAUGUGAAGAAUCAAG
rfam:Tursiops truncatus cont1.339754, whole genome shotgun sequence.